GGCCAGAUAAGAGAAUAAAAGCAGGCUGCCCCCAAGCCAGCAGUAGCAAAGCUGUCCGUUUUGGUUUCUCACCGUGGAAGCUUUGUUCUUUUGGUCUUUUGUAAUAGGUCUUGCUGUUGCUCAGUGUUUGGGUCUACAUUACUUUUGGAGCUGUGGCACUCCGCGUGAAGGCUUGCAGCUUCACCCUUGAAGCCAGUGAGACCAUGAACCCACCAGGAGGAGUGAAGGCUGUCUUGUCUUAAGUAGUCCUACCGGCUGUAACGGUUGUUGUGAAAGUCUGUAUCCUCACUCGUGAGCCAGCAAGACCAUGAAUCAACUAGGAGGAAGAAACUCCGAACAUAUGCGAACAUCAGGAGGAACAAACUCUGGAUACGCUGCUUUUAAAAGUUGUAAUGCUCACUGAGCAGGUUUGCGGCUUCAUUCUUGAAGUCAGUGAGACCAAGAACCCACCAAUUCUGGACACAAAAUCUGUUUGCCUGUUUAGAGGCAUACUACGGGGUUACAUUAGAAGCCCACCGAGAUAAUCCAAUACAAUCUUCUGAUCUCAAAAUCCUUCACUUAAUGACAUCUUUGGCAACUUGAAAUAAUAAUCACAGGUGUCUGACUUUUAAGGUGAGAGAACUAAGUUGUGUGACUCCAAAAGAGCAGAAACCAGGAACUGGAGAAUGGAGGACCAAAGAUCAGAGAACAAACGAUGCUGGUCUGUUAUCACUAACAAUAAUUACCACUAACCUCUCUGGUAAGGAGACAACACCGAAACAAAACUGGACUGAGAAUAAGCUCAUAGCAAAGGAGGAAAAUCAAAAGUUUUUACCUCAUCAGCAGCAUCAAUGACGUGAAAUUGCCAGGCAUUUCACCUCUAUUACUUCAGUUAACUCUCACAAACAUUUGAUAAAGCAGAUCUUAUCCUCAUUCUGUGAAUUAGGAAACCGACCUGGAGACGGAGAAUAACUUGACUAGACCACAGGGAUCAAAUGCAUUUAAGCCUCAGUCUUCUGCCUCCAAACCCCAGCUAAAUGUUGCUGUAUUCAACAUAUAGUUAAAUAAUGCCUUACACAUGUACCUUUUGAAAACUGGGCCUUGCCUGCAAAAGAUAUUGCUUUCAAACAAAGUUAUAUUGUACUAUACUGGUGUAAAG
rnacentral:lncRNA from 10 species